AACGAACGCUGGCGGCAGGCCUAACACAUGCAAGUCGAGCGCCCCGCAAGGGGAGCGGCGGACGGGUGAGUAACGCGUGGGAACGUACCCUUUGCUACGGAAUAGCCUCGGGAAACUGGGAGUAAUACCGUAUGUGCCCUUCGGGGGAAAGAUUUAUCGGCAAAGGAUCGGCCCGCGUUGGAUUAGGUAGUUGGUGGGGUAAUGGCCUACCAAGCCGACGAUCCAUAGCUGGUUUGAGAGGAUGAUCAGCCACACUGGGACUGAGACACGGCCCAGACUCCUACGGGAGGCAGCAGUGGGGAAUCUUAGACAAUGGGCGCAAGCCUGAUCUAGCCAUGCCGCGUGAGCGAUGAAGGCCUUAGGGUUGUAAAGCACUUUCACCGAUGAAGAUAAUGACGGUAGUCGGAGAAGAAGCCCGGCUAACUUCGUG
rnacentral:rRNA from 1 species